UGGGCGGGCGGCGGGCGCGGGCGCGGAGCGGCGGGGGCGGCCGGGCGGCACCGACACCCGCGAACCGCUCGGUACCGGCGGGAGGCGGCGAAGGGGCGGGCGCUGCCGCGAGGGCCGCCGGGAACGGUAGUCCGACCGCGCGGGGAGCGCCGGGAGGCGCGGGGAGAGCGUGCGCAGUGCGGGCCGCGAGGAGCGCCGGGAGCGGAGCUGCGGGGACGCGCGGUGCGGGGCGGCGCCGCUGAGGGCGGGGCGGCGCGGGGCGGAGCGGCGCGGAGAAGCGCGGGGGGCGCGAGGUGAGCGAGGUGAGCGCGGGCGCCGCGGGGCUCCGGGAGGCGCGGGGGGUUUCGGUGGCGCUGGGGCGGCGCUGCCGGCGCUCGGAACGGAACGGGCCGCCCGCGCCCCUCGGUUCUCCGCGCCGCUUUCGGGCCGGGGCCGCGCGGUUCGGGAUCCGCCUCUCGGCUCGGCGCCGCGGGCGGCUCCCGGGCCGGGCUCAGCGGGCGGCUUUCCGAGCCCCGGGAGGCGCCGUGCGGAGCUCGGGCCGGCCGCUCCUCCCGCGCGGUGCCGUUACGCGGCUGCGGGGCGGUUCGGGGCCGCGCAGCUCCCGUUGCGGUCAGGCCGUCCCGGCGGCUCGGAGCUCCGCCGCCCCGCAUCGCUCCGGGCGCCGUCGCCGUGCCCCGGCCGUGCUUUCGUUCUGCGUAGCGCUGUUCUGUACGGCGGCCGGCAGCGCUUUGCUGAGCGCCGUGCGGGUCGGGGCCGCGGGUCUGCGACGGCGGCCGGCGGCAGGAGCUUUGCGGGACCUUGCUGCGCCCGCAGCCCGCGUGCGGCGGCAGGCCGUUAUCUGAGGGACCGCAGCGCGUGCCCGGUGCUCCGGCGGUCCCCGCGCUGCCCGGUUGUUGUGUCAGCGCCCGGCGCUGCCGGCGGGGCCCCGGAGCGCCCACGUGGGCGAUUUGCUGCUGGGGACCCGGCAGCCCCGAGCAGCGGGCGGAGCCCCCGCUGGGCGCAGACCUGCAGGCGACGGCCGGGCCGAGGUGCGGCGCUCCCGGAGCGAUCCGGUGCGCGAAGUUACGAGCUCAGCCCGCGCCCAGAGCUCGUGGGAUCCCUUAAUCCCGUGGAACUUAAACACGGGCUUCUUAAAAUAUAAUUAGCCUAAGCUCAGAAGGCUGCUGGCAGCGCCAUCGCGUUAUGCAACUGCAGCUCCUCUGUGUCGGGGCAGGAGGAUGUUUAGAGCCCUGUUUGGUUUAUCCCGUUUCCUGGCCGCGGGACGUCUCUCCCUACGCUGACCUACCUGCCUGUUUC
rnacentral:lncRNA from 1 species